UCAAUUAAUACCUUCUCAACCAUGUCCUGGACAUCUUCUACUCCAGGUGUCUGGUUUUCAUACUUCUUUUCAAGUAUGCUUUCUACCUCCUUUGCAAGAGUUUCUGCCAGAGCCCUGUCGCUUCCGCCAAGUGAUUCUGCCGCCUUGAAUAUAGCAUUUGUGAUUUUUCCCCUGUUAAAAGGGACCAGUUCCCCGUCUCUUUUCUUGAUAUUUGUUAGCUUUCCCAUCGCGCUCAUUGGAUGCCGCAUCCAGUAUAUAAUAUUUUCCGUAAAAGGUUAUAAACCUGCCAGCCAAUCUAAUACCAUGGAGCAGAUAAAAUUCAAUGACUUUGACAAGCUCAGAGUCGCACUCCAAUUAGCCGAGCCAAAAAGCCGCGCAGAGGUCU
rnacentral:rRNA from 1 species